UGAGGAAUAUUCCGCAAUGGGCGAAAGCCUGACGGAGCGACGCCGUGCGGGUGAUGAAGGCUUUCGGGUCGUAAAACCCUGUCAGCGAAGACGAUAUUGACGGUAUUCGCAGAGGAAGCCCCGGCUAACUACGUGCCAGCAGCCGCGGUAAUACGUAGGGGGCGAGCGUUGUCCGGAAUUACUGGGCGUAAAGGGCAUGUAGGCGGUGAAAUAAGUCAGGUGUAAAAGGUAUGGGCUCAACCCAUAUAUGCAUCUGAUACUGUUUUGCUAGAGAGUAAUAGAGGGAAGUGGAAUUUCCAGUGUAGCGGUGAAAUGCGUAGAUAUUGGAAGGAACACCAGUGGCGAAGGCGGCUUCCUGGAUUAUUUCUGACGCUGAGGUGCGAAAGCUAGGGGAGCAAACGGG
rnacentral:rRNA from 1 species